rnacentral:lncRNA from 1 species
AGAAAUGGGGAUCCAGGAAGUUGCAAUUAUUAAAGAUGACCUUAACCUGGGUUCUUCCUCCAGCAGCCAGUACACCUUCUGCCAGCCAGAACCCGGUAUGGAGCUGCUGCAGCAGCCAACCUUUGAUGUCUUAUUUAAUGGCUUCUUUUCUAACGCAGCUUUCAACUUUUUAAAUAAUUUCUCUGAAACUCAAGAAAAGUUUGAUAAAAUUUGUUACAGUGUUUUCCUGGCCUCUAUGGCUGAGCUCAGUGUUCUUUCUUUGACACAUCACAGUGUGCAUGUGCAUAGGGUGUACUGGGGACGGAAUCCCAAAUACUGCACAUGCUAGGUAAGCAGUCUGCUACUUUCAGUUUAUUAAAGUCUCAAGUUCUC